rnacentral:rRNA from 1 species
UUUUUACAAACAUGUCCUAUUGUUGAUAUUAUAUUAGGUCAGGCCUGCCCAAUGAUUAACAUAUUUAAUGGCCGCAGUAUAUUGACUGUGCAAAGGUAGCAUAAUCAUUUGUCUUUUAAUUGUGGACUGGAAUGAAUGGUUUGAUGAGAGAUAAACUUUUUUUAUUUUAUUAUUAUGAAUUUAUUUUUUUAGUUAAAAAACUGAGAUGUAUUUAUGGGACGAGAAGACCCUAUAGAACUUUAUUUUUAUAUUGUAUAAAUAUUAUAGUUUAUAAAUAUUUAUUUUGUAUUAAAAAAUUUUGUUGGGGAGACAUAUAAAUUUUAUCAACUUUAUAUUAAUGUUUAUCAUUAAUUAAUGAUUAUUAAUAUUGAUCCUUUAUUAAAGAUUAUAAGAAUAAGUUACCUUAGGGAUAACAGCGUUAUUUAAUUGGAGAGUUCUUAUCGAUAAUUAAGUUUGCGACCUCGAUGUUGGAUUAAAAUUAUUUUAUGGUGUAGUAGCUGUAUUAAUAAGUCUGUUCGACUUUUAAAUUUUUACAUGAUUGGGUUUCA